rnacentral:rRNA from 1 species
UAAUACCCGCGCCCCAAGUGGUGGUCGAUAUUAUUGAGCCUAAAACGUCCGUAGCCGGUCUUCUAAAUCCUUGGGUAAAUCGGGCAGCUUAACUGUCCGAAGUCCGGGGAGACUGGGAGACUUGGGACCGGGAGAGGUCAGAGGUACUUCUGGGGUAGGGGUAAAAUCCUGUAAUCCUGGAAGGACCACCGGUGGCGAAGGCGUCUGACUAGAACGGAUCCGACGGUGAGGGACGAAGCCCUGGGGCGCAAACGGG